rnacentral:rRNA from 1 species
UGGGGAAUAUUGGACAAUGGGCGAAAGCCUGAUCCAGCAAUGCCGCGUGAGUGAUGAAGGCCCUAGGGUUGUAAAGCUCUUUUACCCGGGAAGAUAAUGACUGUACCGGGAGAAUAAGCCCCGGCUAACUCCGUGCCAGCAGCCGCGGUAAUACGGAGGGGGCUAGCGUUGUUCGGAAUUACUGGGCGUAAAGCGCACGUAGGCGGCUUUGUAAGUCAGAGGUGAAAGCCUGGAGCUCAACUCCAGAACUACCUUUGAGACUGCAUCGCUUGAAUCCAGGAGAGGUCAGUGGAAUUCCGAGUGUAGAGGUGAAAUUCGUAGAUAUUCGGAAGAACACCAGUGGCGAAGGCGGCUGACUGGACUGGUGUUGACGCUGAGGUGCGAAAGCGUGGGGAGCAAACA